UCAGUAACACGUAGUCCACAUGCCAGGGACGUGGAUAACCUCGGGAAACUGAGGAUAAACCGCGAUAGGUCACUGCUUCUGGAAUGGUAAUGACCCAAACCUUAUAUGGCCCCUGGAUUGGACUGCGGCCGAUCAGGCUGUUGGUGAGGUAAUGGCCCACCAAACCUGUAACCGGUACGGGCUCUGAGAGGAGGAGCCCGGAGAUGGGCACUGAGACAAGGGCCCAGGCCCUAUGGGGCGCAGCAGGCGCGAAACCUCUGCAAUAGGCGAAAGCUUGGACAGGGUUACUCUGAGUGAUUUCCGUUAAGGAGAUCUUUUGGCACCUCUAAAAAUGGUGCAGAAUAAGGGGUGGGCAAGUCUGGUGCCAGC
rnacentral:rRNA from 1 species